GGUCCGUAUGAUGUCAUGGGGCGUGGCCGGCGGGACGCGUGCUGGGGCUCGUGCCGCUUGGGAGCCGUGAGGGCGCACUUCGCACGCAGCGCUGGAGGAGGGAGGUCGUACGGCGUCCGGGAGGAAGAGGAUGGCGGCGGGAGGGGGACUCCUGCGGGCCGCGGAGUCCCUCUCUCCGUGGGAAGAGGAGGCUCACAGAGCGGCGGAAGGAGGACAGCAGUGGUAGCGGAGUCAUGUGGCUUGUCCGACGCAUCCCAGCUGAAAACGAGAUGAGGUCCUCAACAACCGAUGACCGGUGACCCUGGUGACCUGUGACCCUGCACGCGACGAGGUCACGACCUCUGGAGAACCACCGGGCCCCGUCCGACUUCCCCGCGGGCCGCCGCUGACGGCGACGAGGCAAGCUUCUCAGAACCCGACGGCGGAGCUACUUGAGAGACUGUGGCGGCGGGCCUGCAACGUGACGAAGGUCGCGACGGUGCCCGUGACGGUGCCCGUGACGGGGGUCGCGGCGGAGUCCGUGACGAAAGCAGCCGUGACGCUGGUUGGGGCGUCACGGUUCUGCUGGCGGCUCUUCAGGGCGCUGAGUCUCUAACAGGGUCCGGUCAACAGACAGAAGGCUUCGCUUCAUCAUCGGCUUCAGCUAGCUAAUCUGAUCUCAUUCUGUGCCAUGUGAUACUGGCUGUGAUAUGAAUGGGUGUGGUCCCGUACUGUGUCAUCAUUAGUUGUUUUAGUGUGUAGCUAUGGGGAAGGAUUGGGUUAGGGUGGGUUGGGGUACGAGGGAAUUAGGGCUAGGGCUGUGAUAGUGGUAAGUUUGAUACUGCCUUAUGGUCAUAUGACCAUAGAUCUCAAUGGCUGUGAUAUGAUGUAACGCCUUUCGUCUUUAGCUUGUAGUUUGUAGUUUAGUGGGUCUUUAGUUAGCGUUUCCUUAUAGCUGUUCUUUUUUGGGACAUUAAGUCACCCCUUUUUCUUCUGUUUAUUAGGUACAUAGAGGCGUUGCGUACUGUCUUGUUAGUUAUGCACUGUCAAAUGAUCUCAUAGGCUUAGUUCGAUUGUGGUUUAGUGAUCUCACAGCGUUGGAUAGCAAUGGGUAGUUGAGGGACUUCGGUCAUUGAUCUCAUAAAAGCUUAACUUGAGAAAGGUAUAGUUUGUAGUUAUACUUAAGGCCUAGUAAGUAACCUUAGUGAUGCUCAAAGUGGUUCUGCAUUUGCAGUCCCAACGGUCUCAUGAAGUCUUUCAGGGAGGGCAGAAGUCCUCAUAGGCAAGUCUUUCAUAGUCAAUAGGAGUUAAGUCUUUCACGAAGUAACGAACAGCGUUGCAUAAGUUGUUAGCGCUGCAGCUUCUUCUGCUAGCUUAGUCCCGUCUUCUAAUUUUUUUUCUUCUAAAAUUAGCGUUUAUAGUUAGAGCGAUCGAUCUUUUCGUAAUGCUUUCAUCAUCUGUGCUGUGUUAAGACGGUCUUUCAGUGGUCUUUGACAUCCGUUUAGCAUAAGGCAGUCUUUCAGUAAUAUGGCGAUGGCUAUAAGUCCUUCAUUCGUGCUUGAAGUGACGUGCUGGAUAAUCCAUGUUUUGCGUAGUAUGUCCUUACUAACAUGCUCAGCCACUGCUCUAGGUAACUGCCAUAACUUGUAAGUUGAUAAUUUGUGCUCACUUGUAACCGAGCACUUUAGUUGUAAAACGUACGGUGUUUCAUUGCUUCGCAUUCAUAGCAUAGCAUUAGGUACCGCUCAAUAGCGUUUUGUGUUGCUUAGUUUGAUUAAAACUCAGCGUAAAAUUAAUUACUAACAGUUCAGCUUGUGCAAGUAGCUUUUAGUGAUAAGAACAACCGGUAGGAGAGUAUCUAGUGAGUUGGUUUUAGAUGCCACAAUGUGGGUGUUAUUAAAUUUGCGACUGGACGAGCUGUCAUUGGAUUGUGGUGUCCGGGGAUGCUACACGCGGCUUUCGUACUGAUCUCAAUUGACGGUUGGCACUUUGCCAAAAGGCUCGGAAUGUUAAGUCAAAGUGGUAGUUGAUGUGGCCCUCCAACCAACCUGCAUUUGACCCCCAUGUUGACCGUAGUUAAGGAUGAAAUUGUGCGCGUCUUUCAUUCGGAUCAUUCUGAUAAAACGUGAUGCCAAGUCUUUCUCCCAAGAGUGAUGUUUUGCGUUGUGAUAUAUGGUGUCUUUCACAUGUGUGGCUGUUCAGACUGCAUUGCCCAAUGCCCAUUGUCUUUCAAUUGUGCCCCAUGACCUCAUGUUGUAAAUAGAUGUACAUAUUUAGUUCUUCGUGUGACUGCCGAUUUGUAGUUUUAGACCAAUAAAAUAUAAAACCCAACCA